rnacentral:rRNA from 1 species
UAGUCCACGCCGUAAACGAUGGAUACUAGCUGUCCGGUGCCUUGAGCACUGGGCGGCCAAGCGAAAGUGAUAAGUAUCCCACCUGGGGAGUACGUUCGCAAGAAUGAAACUCAAAGGAAUUGACGGGGGCCCGCACAAGCGGUGGAGCAUGUGGUUUAAUUCGAUGAUACGCGAGGAACCUUACCAGGGCUUAAAUGCAUAUUGACAGGGUCAGAGAUGGCCUUUCCUUCGGGCAAUUUGCAAGGUGCUGCAUGGUUGUCGUCAGCUCGUGCCGUGAGGUGUCAGGUUAAGUCCUAUAACGAGCGCAACCCCUACCGUUAGUUGCCAGCGAGUAAUGUCGGGGACUCUAACGGGACUGCCGGUGCAAACCGUGAGGAAGGUGGGGAUGACGUCAAAUCAUCACGGCCCUUACGUCCUGGGCCACACACGUGCUACAAUGGCCGGUACAGAGAGCAGCCAUCCGGUAACGAGCGCGAUACUACAAACCGGUACACACGUACGGUAGUCGGGUCGU